GUGCUUGCCUUGGUAGCACAUAUACUAAAACUGGAGUGAUACAGAGAAGAUUAGCAUGGCCCCUGAACAAGGAUGACAUUCAAAUUCAUGAAGAUUCCAUUUUUUAA
ensembl:snRNA U6 U6 spliceosomal RNA